GGGUCCUUAGCUCAGCUGGGAGAGCGCCUCGCUGGCAGCGAGGAGGUCAGCGGUUCGAUCCCGCUAGGAUCCACCA
rnacentral:tRNA from 1 species